GACGAACGCUGGCGGCGUGCUUAACACAUGCAAGUCGAACGAAGUGGCGAACGGGUGAGUAACGCGUAAUCAACCUGCCCUUCAGAGGGGGACAACAGUUGGAAACGACUGCUAAUACCGCAUACUGAAGGAGGGGAUUGCGUCUGAUUAGCUAGUUGGGGGGGUAACGGCCCACCAAGGCGAGGAUCAGGAGGCGGGAUGGGAGGAUGGACGGCCACAGUGGGACGGGGAAAAGGCCCAGACUCCGACGGGAGGGAGCAGGGGGGAAUCUUCCGCAAUGGACGAAAGUCUGACGGAGCAACGCCGGGGGAGUGAUGAAGGGCUUCGGGGUGGAAAGCUCUGUUAAGCGGGACGCGGUACCGGAAGAGAAAGCCACGGCUAACUACGUGCCAGCAGCCGCGGUAAUAC
rnacentral:rRNA from 1 species